AACGCUGGCGGCGUGCCUAAUACAUGCAAGUAGAACGCUGAAGGAAGGAGCUUGCUCUUUCCGGAUGAGUUGCGAACGGGUGAGUAACGCGUAGGUAACCUGCCUGGUAGCGGGGGAUAACUAUUGGAAACGAUAGCUAAUACCGCAUAAUAUUGAUUAUUGCAUGAUAGUCAAUUAAAAGGUGCAAUUGCAUCACUACCAGAUGGACCUGCGUUGUAUUAGCUAGUUGGUGGGGUAACGGCUCACCAAGGCGACGAUACAUAGCCGACCUGAGAGGGUGAUCGGCCACACUGGGACUGAGACACGGCCCAGACUCCUACGGGAGGCAGCAGUAGGGAAUCUUCGGCAAUGGACGGAAGUCUGACCGAGCAACGCCGCGUGAGUGAAGAAGGUUUUCGGAUCGUAAAGCUCUGUUGUAAGAGAAGAACGAGUGUGAGAGUGGAAAU
rnacentral:rRNA from 1 species